UCACACGUGGUGGCCGAAACCUGAGCGUUU
rnacentral:sRNA from 1 species